rnacentral:rRNA from 1 species
CUACGGGUCGCUGCAGUGAGGAAUUUUGCGCAAUGGGGGAAACCCUGACGCAGCAACGCCGCGUGAGUGAAGAAGGCCCUCGGGUCGUAAAGCUCUGUCAAGUGGGAAAAAAGCCUUUUGAUCAAUACCCAAAAGGUUUGAUGGUACCACUGGAGGAAGCACCGGCUAACUCCGUGCCAGCAGCCGCGGUAAUACGGAGGGUGCAAGCGUUGUUCGGAAUUACUGGGCGUAAAGGGCGUGCAGGCGGUUUGGCAAGUCAGAUGUGAAAGCCCUGGGCUUAACCCGGGAAGUGCAUUUGAAACUGCCUUUCUUGAGUAUGGGAGAGGAGAGGGGAAUUCCCAGUGUAGAGGUGAAAUUCGUAGAUAUUGGGAGGAACACCCGUGGCGAAGGCGACUCUCUGGACCAAUACUGACGCUGAGACGCGAAAGCGUGGGGAGCAAACAGGAUUAGAUACCCGGGUAGUC